rnacentral:rRNA from 1 species
UACGGGGGGGGCAAGCGUUGUUCGGAAUUACUGGGCGUAAAGCGUGCGCAGGCGGUUUGCUAAGACCGAUGUGAAAUCCCCGGGCUCAACCUGGGAACUGCAUUGGUGACUGGCAGGCUAGAGUAUGGCAGAGGGGGGUAGAAUUCCACGUGUAGCAGUGAAAUGCGUAGAGAUGUGGAGGAAUACCGAUGGCGAAGGCAGCCCCCUGGGCCAAUACUGACGCUCAUGCACGAAAGCGUGGGGAGCAAACAGG